rnacentral:RNase_P_RNA from 1 species
AACCCACGACCAGUGCAACAGAGAGCAAACCGCCGAUGGCCCACGCAAGUGGGAUCAGGUAAGGGUGAAAGGGUGCGGUAAGAGCGCACCGCGCGGCUGGUAACAGUCCGUGGCACGGUAAACUCCACCCGGAGCAAGGCCAAAUAGGGGUUCAUAAGGUACGGCCCGUACUGAACCCGGGUAGGCUGCUUGAGCCAGUGAGCGAUUGCUGGCCUAGAUGAAUGACUGUCCACGACAGAACCCGGCUUAUCGGUCAGUUUCACUU